rnacentral:misc_RNA from 1 species
CCGAGUGAGGGGCCCCGCCCCGACCUCCAACCCUUUGUGAACCCACACCUGUUGCUUCGGGGGCGACCCUGCCGUCUCGGCGCGGCGCCCCCGGAGGCCAUCAAACACUGCAUCAUUUGUCGUCGGAUUUACAAGUUAAUAAACA